UACGGGGGGGGCAAGCGUUGUUCGGAAUUACUGGGCGUAAAGGGCUCGUAGGCGGCCAACUAAGUCAGACGUGAAAUCCCUCGGCUUAACCGGGGAACGGCCUCUGAUACUGGCUGGCUGGAGUUCGGGAGAGGGAUGCGGAAUUCCAGGUGUAGCGGUGAAAUGCGUAGAUAUCGUGAGGAACACCAGAGGCGAAGGCGGCUACCUGGACAAUUGCUGACACUCAGGCACGAAAGCGUGGGGAGCAAAAGGG
rnacentral:rRNA from 1 species